AUGGAGGGCGCGGUGAUCAGGCACCGGACUGUGGAGGUCAAUGACUUCUUGAUGCACGUGGCAGAGGCCGGCCCCGAGGGGCACUCCAAGGGGACCGUGUUGUUCCUACAUGGCUUCCCGGAGCUAUGGUACACGUGGCGCCACCAGAUGGAGAAUCUGGCAGCACGCGGCUACCAUUGCGUCGCGCCUGACCUUCGUGGCUAUGGUGGUACCACCGCCCCGUCCGACGUGGAAUCUUACACUGCCUUCCAUAUCGUCGGUGACAUCCUCGCGCUUCUCAAUACCCUAGGGCUUGCAAAGGUAUGA
rnacentral:rRNA from 1 species